rnacentral:rRNA from 1 species
CAGCCGCCACGGUAAUACGUAGGUGGCAAGCGUUGUCCGGAAUUAUUGGGCGUAAAGGGCUCGCAGGCGGUUUCUUAAGUCUGAUGUGAAAGCCCCCGGCUCAACCGGGGAGGGUCAUUGGAAACUGGGAAACUUGAGUGCAGAAGAGGAGAGUGGAAUUCCACGUGUAGCGGUGAAAUGCGUAGAGAUGUGGAGGAACACCAGUGGCGAGGGCGACUCUCUGGUCUGUAACUGACGCUGAGGAGCGAAAGCGUGGGGAGCGAACAGGAUUAGAUACCCCGGUAGUCCCUGUCUCUUAUAC